UGUACAGGGUUUCUUUUUUCGGGUGAUGGUUGCACAACUCUGUGAAUAUACUGAAAACCAUUACUUUACCCACCUUAGGUGAAUGGUUUGGUAUAUGAUAUGUGAUGUAUAUAUGCGAGAGACCUUUCCCUUCUGUUAAAUCCUCUUGCCUUGCAAUAAUGUGGAGAUCUGCAUCAUCUAAGAAUUUACAGAAAAGAAGGAUCAACUUACUUGGUAACAAGUGGCUUAAAUUUGAGUUGUUAACACUCUUCUCCAUUUAGAUUUCGUUCAGGUUCCCAGACCGUUGCUUUUCCAAAUCGAGUGGCCGUCAACUGGAGCUUUAGGCAAACGAUGAGCACACAGGGGCUGUUCACCUCUUUGGUCUCUGCUCUUAGAACUGGUGCCCGGAGCUGCCGUGGAGUGUGGCAGGGUGCUGGCCCACCUCACCCACCACCCCAUCUGCAUCCUGAAAGGAGGCUAUGAACGCUUCUCAGCCAUGUACCACUUCCUCCGGACACAGAAGAUCAUCUGGAUGCCACAGGAACUGGAUGCCUUUCAGCCCUACCCUGCUGAAAUCAUGCCAGGCAAGAUCUACCUGGGCAAUUUCAGGCAAGCCUGCGACCCGAAAAUUCAGAAGGAUUUGAAAAUCAAAGCACAUGUCAAUGUCUCCAUGGAGACAGGGCCAUUUUUUGUAGAUGACAGUAACAAACUUCUGCACAUCAAGAUUGAAGAUUCCCCGGAAGCCAACAUUUUCCCCUUUUUACGGCACCUCUGUCACUUCCUUGAAGUUCACCUCCGGCUUGGCUCGGUCAUCCUGGUCUUUUCCACCCUGGGCAUCAGUCGCAGCUGUGCGGCCACCUUGGCCUUCCUCAUGCAUUGGAAGGAGCAGACCUUGAAGCGUUCAUUCAGGCUUCUCCAAGGGAGGUGCAUUUUGGUUAUUGCUUGGAGCCAGAGAACUACGACCCUGGCAGGGCUCCAAGGGCACCUACUCCAACAGUCUUGACCCGGACUGGAGAAGGGGGCGGAGACCUGUCACCACAAACUCCGUGGAACCAGCGCUUGUGACGCCGAGGGCAGUGCCUUCCCAUGGCACGAGGAGAUGGCGGCCUGCCCCGAGGGGAGGCACAGCUUUUGCAUGACUUCAGAGGGCUUCGGUGGGACCCGAAAAGCUCCCACGUAUGCCCAGGGCUGUGCUUGAAGGAAGGGGAGGGUCAGAGAAUGACCAUGGUCAGAGCCCAUUGCCAGCGGUUUGGGAUGUUGGCCCCACGUGCUCUUUGGGGGUGAAAUUGCCAGCUAGAAAGAGUCUCGGGCAGCCAGCAAUUCCACCUGUAGGAGUGGAAGCCAGGGCUCAGAUGUUUGUGGGGCCGUGUUCGGAGCAGCAUUACUCACCGUAGCCAACAGGUGGGAGUAACCCAUCUGUCCGUCAACAGACGAAAGGAUAGAAACAAAUGGUCUGUCCACACAAUGGACUAUUCCUCAGCCUCGCCAAGGAAGGACAUUUUGACACCUGCUGCCACAUGGAUGAACCGGAGGACAUUAUGCUGCGGGAAUGGGGAGUUGUUUCAUGUAUGUGAAAGUUCUGGAGAUGGACGGUGGUGACGGUCGCACAACAUGGUGAAUGUACUUCUUGCCAUUGAACCGGACCCCCAAACAUGGUGAAAAUGGGAAGUUCUCUGUUACGUCUGCUUUACUACAAUUGAAAAAGAAAAGCGUCUGGAGGCAGAAUCACAGGGCCUGGAGCGAGAGGCCCAGACCCCUGGUUUCUCACCCCGUGCAAGAAGUCCUGGGCCUAUGUCAAGAAGUGCAAAAACAACGUGCAUCCCAAUCGGGGCUUGGUGGCUCAGCUGUC